UAGCGGAGGAAAAGAAACCAACAGGGAUUGCCUCAGUAACGGCGAGUGAAGCGGCAAAAGCUCAAAUUUGAAAUCUAGCACCUUCGGUGUUCGAGUUGUAAUUUGAAGAUGGUAACCUUGGGUUUGGCUCUUGUCUAUGUUCCUUGGAACAGGACGUCAUAGAGGGUGAGAAUCCCGUCUGAUGAGAUGCCCAUUCCUAUGUAAGGUGCUAUCGAAGAGUCGAGUUGUUUGGGAAUGCAGCUCUAAGUGGGUGGUAAAUUCCAUCUAAAGCUAAAUAUUGGCGAGAGACCGAUAGCGAACAAGUACAGUGAUGGAAAGAUGAAAAGAACUUUGAAAAGAGAGUGAAAAAGUACGUGAAAUUGUUGAAAGGGAAGGGCAUUAGAUCAGACUUGGUGUUUUACGAUUAUCUUCUCUUCUUGAGUUGUGCACUCGUAUUUCACUGGGCCAGCAUCGAUUCGGAUGGCAAGAUAAUGGCAGUUGAAUGUGGCUUCACUUCGGUGGAGUGUUAUAGCUUCUGCUGAUAUUGCCUGUCUGGAUCGAGGGCUGCGUCUUUUGACUAGGAUGCUGGCGUAAUGAUCUAAUGCCGCCCGUCU
rnacentral:rRNA from 1 species